GAUGAAGAACGUAGCGAAAUGCGAUACUUGGUGUGAAUUGCAGAAUCCCGUGAACCAUCGAGUCUUUGAACGCAAGUUGCGCCCGAAGCCACUAGGCCGAGGGCACGCCUGCCUGGGCGUCACACGCCGUUGCCCCCCCAUCUACUCCUUCGGGAUUGCGGGGGGGCGGAUGAUGGCCUCCCGUGCGCCUAGCCGCGCGGUUGGCAUAAAUACCAAGUCCUCGGCGACGCACGCCACGACAAUCGGUGGUUGCGAAACCUCGGUUGCCCGUCGUGUGCGUUCGUCGCGCAUCGAGGGCUCGAAAAAAUGCUCGGCUCCGGCUGGGCUUUCAACGCGUCCCCAGGUCAGGCGGGGUUACCCGCUGAAUUUAAGCAUAUCAAUAAGCGGAGGA
rnacentral:misc_RNA from 1 species